rnacentral:rRNA from 1 species
AUUGAACGCUGGCGGCAGGCUUAACACAUGCAAGUCGAGCGGAGAUGAGGUGCUUGCACCUUAUCUUAGCGGCGGACGGGUGAGUAAUGCUUAGGAAUCUGCCUAUUAGUGGGGGACCACAUUCCGAAAGGAAUGCUAAUACCGCAUACGUCCUACGGGAGAAAGCAGGGGAUAUUCGGACCUUGCGCUAAUAGAUGAGCCUAAGUCGGAUUAGCUAGUUGGUGGGGUAAAGGCCUACCAAGGCGACGAUCUGUAGCGGGUCUGAGAGGAUGAUCCGCCACACUGGGACUGAGACACGGCCCAGACUCCUACGGGAGGCAGCAGUGGGGAAUAUUGGACAAUGGGGGGAACCCUGAUCCAGCCAUGCCGCGUGUGUGAAGAAGGCCUUAUGGUUGUAAAGCACUUUAAGCGAGGAGGAGGCUACUGAGACUAAUACUCUUGGAUAGUGGACGUUACUCGCAGAAUAAGCACCGGCUAACUCUGUGCCAGCCGCCGCCGUAAGAC